rnacentral:rRNA from 1 species
AUUGAACGCUGGCGGCAUGCUUUACACAUGCAAGUCGAACGGUAACAGGCCUUCGGGUGCUGACGAGUGGCGGACGGGUGAGUAAUGCACCGGAACGUACCCAGAGGUGGGGGAUAACGCAGCGAAAGCUGUGCUAAUACCGCAUGUGAUCUGAGGAUGAAAGCGGGGGACCGAGCAGCAAUGUUUGGCCUCGCGCCUUUGGAGCGGCCGAUGUGGGAUUGGCUAGUUGGUGGGUUAAAGGCCUACCAGGGCGACGAUCCGUAGCUGGUCUGAGAGGACGGCCGCCGACACGGGAGGUGGAACGCGGACAAGGCGACUACGAGAGGCAGCAGUGGGGAAUGGUAGACAGAGGGCGCGAACCUUGUACAGCGAGGCGGCGUGCGGGAAGAAGGCCUCCGGGUUGUGAUGCGCUUUUGGGAGGAGCAAAACGGUGUCGGCUGUGACCGAGCGUGAGUGACGGUACCUGGAGAAUAAGCACCGGCUAACUACGUG